ACAACGGAGAGUUUGAUCCUGGCUCAGGAUGAACGCUGGCGGCGUGCUUAACACAUGCAAGUCGAACGAACCUUCGGGUUAGUGGCGGACGG
rnacentral:rRNA from 1 species